rnacentral:rRNA from 1 species
CCUACGGGUGGCUGCAGUGAGGAAUAUUGGUCAAUGGGCGUAAGCCUGAACCAGCCAAGCCGCGUGAGGGAUGAAGGUUUUAUGGAUCGUAACCUCUUUUAUAAGGGAAGAAAGUGUGGGACGUGUCCUAUUGUGUAUGUACCUUAUGAAUAAGGAUCGGCUAACUCCGUGCCAGCAGCCGCGGUAAUACGGAGGAUCCGAGCGUUAUCCGGGUUUAUUGGGUGUAAAGGGUGCGUAGGCGGCCUUUCAAGUCAGCGGUGAAAGUCUGCGGCUCAACCAUAGAAUUGCCGUUGAAACUGGGGGGCUAGAGUGUUGUUGAGGCAGGCGGAAUGCGGGGUGUAGCGGUGAAAUGCGUAGAUAUCACGCGGAACCCCAGUUGCGAAGGCGGCCUGCCAGGCCAUAACUGACGCUGAGGCACGAAAGCGUGGGGAUCAAACAGGAUUAGAUACCCUAGUAGUC